rnacentral:rRNA from 1 species
AACGCUAGCUACAGGCUUAACACAUGCAAGUCGAGGGGCAGCGCAGUGUAGCAAUACAUGGGCGGCGACCGGCGCACGGGUGCGUAACGCGUAUCCAACCUUCCCGUUACUCAGGGAUAGCCUUCCGAAAGGGAGAUUAAUACCUGAUGGUGUUCAAAUUCCGCAUGUUAUUUGAACUAAAGAUUUAUCGGUAACGGAUGGGGAUGCGUGACAUUAGGUAGAUGGCGGGGUAACGGCCCACCAUGCCUACGAUGUCUAGGGGUUCUGAGAGGAAGGUCCCCCACACUGGAACUGAGACACGGUCCAGACUCCUACGGGAGGCAGCAGUGAGGAAUAUUGGUCAAUGGCCGGAAAGCUGAACCAGCCAAGUAGCGUGAAGGAUGAAGGUUCUAUGGAUUGUAAACUUCUUUUAUACGGGAAUAAAACCACCUACGUGUAGGUGCUUGUAUGUACCGUAUGAAUAAGCAUCGGCUAACUCCGUGCCAGCAGCCGCGGUAAUACGGAGGAUGCGAGCGUUAUCCGGAUUUAUUGGGUUUAAAGGGAGCGUAGACGGGAGAUUAAGUCAGUUGUGAAAGGCUGCGGCUCAACCGCAGCACUGCAGUUGAUACUGGUUUCCUUGAGUGCGGUUGAGGUGUAUGGAAUUCGUGGUGUAGCGGUGAAAUGCUUAGAUAUCACGAAGAACUCCGAUUG